rnacentral:rRNA from 1 species
UAGGGAAUCUUCGGCAAUGGACGAAAGUCUGACCGAGCAACGCCGCGUGAGUGAAGAAGGUUUUCGGAUCGUAAAACUCUGUUGUUAGAGAAGAACAAGGACGUUAGUAACUGAACGUCCCCUGACGGUAUCUAACCAGAAAGCCACGGCUAACUACGUGCCAGCAGCCGCGGUAAUACGUAGGUGGCAAGCGUUGUCCGGAUUUAUUGGGCGUAAAGCGAGCGCAGGCGGUUUCUUAAGUCUGAUGUGAAAGCCCCCGGCUCAACCGGGGAGGGUUAUUGGAAACUGGGAGGCUUGAGUUCAGAAGGGGAGGGUGGAAUUCCAAGUGUAGCGGGGAAAUGCGUAGAUAUAUGGAGGAACCCCAGUGGCGGAGGCGGCUCUCUUGUCCGUAACCGACGCUGGGGCUCGAAAGCGUGGGGAGCAAACAGG